rnacentral:rRNA from 1 species
AACGAACGCUGGCGGCAGGCCUAACACAUGCAAGUCGAGCGCGCCCUUCGGGGUUAGCGGCGGACGGGUGAGUAACGCGUGGGAACGUGCCCUUUUCUACGGAAUAGCCUCGGGAAACUGAGAGUAAUACCGUAUACGCCCUUUGCGGGAAAGAUUUAUCGGAAAAGGAUCGGCCCGCGUUGGAUUAGGUAGUUGGUGGGGUAAUGGCCUACCAAGCCGACGAUCCAUAGCUGGUUUGAGAGGAUGAUCAGCCACACUGGGACUGAGACACGGCCCAGACUCCUACGGGAGGCAGCAGUGGGGAAUCUUAGACAAUGGGGGCAACCCUGAGCUAGCCAUGCCGCGUGAGUGAUGAAGGCCUUAGGGUUGUAAAGCUCUUUCAGCUGGGAAGAUAAUGACGGUACCAGCAGAAGAAGCCCCGGCUAACUCCGUG